UACGUAGGGGGCUAGCGUUGUCCGGAAUCAUUGGGCGUAAAGCGCGUGUAGGCGGUCCGGUAAGUCCGCUGUGAAAGUCGAGGGCUCAACCCUCGAAUGCCGGUGGAUACUGUCGGGCUAGAGUACGGAAGAGGCGAGUGGAAUUCCUGGUGUAGCGGUGAAAUGCGCAGAUAUCAGGAGGAACACCGGUGGCGAAGGCGGUUCUCUGGGCAGUAACUGACGCUGAGGAGCGAAAGCGUGGGGAGCGAACAGG
rnacentral:rRNA from 1 species